GUCGUUCCUAAUCAAAUAAUCCUCUCUACAAACAAAUUAUCCACAAAUUUGCUUGUCUGUAAAUUAAUAACUGAACUGUAAUUAGAACUCUAUUUCCUUUUUUGGAAAUAGUUAUGUUUUCCAUUUAAAGAUCUAUCUUUACCAUAGCCCCCUCCUAUAUAUUUACAUUACGUGCAAAUUCAUGAAUCCCAAAUUCAAAACGAGGUAGGAUUACUAGCAGUAGUCUAAAUGUGCCACGGCCUGCUAUCUUGUAGCAAUUUUGGAUGCACGUUUGGAUUGCAAGUUAAAAGUUUGGGAUGCAGGUCACGAGCCAGGAGCACGGAGUGUUUAGCUUUACAUUUUAGCUAUGUAAUAAUUUCUUUGGGCUCCACUGUAGUUGGUAUUAUACAUUUGAGGACUAUGCUAUAGAUGUUGUAAAGGCUGUACGCCUUAUAUUCUUCAUUCAGACUUGUUGUAUUUGAGGCUUGUUGAGAAUCUCAGUAUAUUCAUUUCAGACAUUGUUUUUGUACUAUCUGCAUGUUGGAUGAUGAAAUAGCAUUUUGAUCCCUAUUA